UCAGGUUUCAAACUGGUUCUGUACAGUUUGUCUUCGAAAGUCAACGUUUGUCAAAGGUUUCUAAAUGAAUUCCAAACAAAAGCUACUUUUAAAAGACCUCAGGACAUCAUUUCAGCAAACAGACCCACCUUUAGAAGACCUGAAUGCAUAUUUGCUUAUCUCU